UCCCAGCUUUGAUGCACCUGUACUGACCUCUCCUUCUGGAUGGUAGCGGUGUGAACAGGCAGUGGCUCGGGUGGUUGAUGUCCAGGGACUCCAAGAGCUAAAGAGGAAUGAUAAGGAAUAGUACUACAGUGAAUAGCCUAUAGGCCUACCCAAUGAAUUUACACAGUCAAAUAUCUUUUUUUUUACAAAUCAGUUGAUGUGAAAUCAAAUCAAACGUUAUUUGUCACAUGCGCCGAAUUCAACGUGUGUAGAUCUUACCUUGAAACGCUUACUUACAAGCCCUUAACCGACAGUGCAGUUCAAGAAAGAGUUAAGAAAAUAUUUACUAAAUCAUCUAAAAUAAUAAAAAGUAACAUUAACAUGACAAUAACGAGGCUAUAUACAGUGAGUACCGGUACAGAGUCAGUGUGUGGGCGUACAGGUUAGUCGAGGUCAUUUGUACCUGUAGGUAGGGGUGAAGUGACUAUGCAUAGAUGACAGGCAGCCUAGGAUGACAAAAAUAUCACUUGAAAAAAGGAGGAGAACAAUUCGUAGGCAUACAGCCUGUCCAGCCAUCCACAUGGACUGUUGUCUUCCCCAUUUGGUACCAACUACAAACACCCGAUGUAAUCACUUUUCCCUACCAUUGAGGAACCAUCUUCUUUCCACUCCAAAAUUACAUGGAACUUUUCAAGACUCUCUUCAGCAGACAGAGACUGCAACAGACCCUUCACUUUUCACAUGCUGUGUUCCUUGCGUAAUUGUGCGACGCCAUGCUUGUUGUUGUUAUAAACCAGAGUUUUUUUUUGGUGCUUUCAAGACAACAGGGAACUCAGGGGGAAAAUGAUGUAAAACAAUGACGUCAAUGAUCUUCUGUUCAGGAAGUCGGAGCUUUAGAAAGAUGCCAGAGUUUCCGACUUUUAAUUCAGAGCUGGAUGACCGUUCAAAACGAUUUUGCCAGUCAGUUUCUUUAUUUCCAGAGUUCUUAGUUAUCUUGAAUGCACUGACUCUGGAAGUCGGUGAUUUCAGAGUUCCCAGUUGUUUUGAAUGCAGCAUCUCUGUUGUUGUUAGAUCCCUAUGUCAUCACUACAAGCAUUACUUUACUCGCCAGAUACUCUACAUGCCCACAUUCUGGAUAUAAAGGGGAAAUGCCCACCCGGCCGGGCUCAGCGAGGAGAACGAGAGCGAGAGAGCAAAGUUACACAGUCAAAUUAAAUUAGUUGUCACGGCUGUCGUAGGAAGGAGCGGACCAAAGUGCAGCGUGUGUGUCGUUCCACAUUUUAUUUUCACUGUGAAACUAUGCAAUACAUAAAUAAACUAAAGAACGGAAACAACAAACCAUGACGCGCAACUUACUCAAACUCAAAAACAAUCUCCCACAAACCCAGGUAGAAAAAAACCCUACUUAAGUAUGAUCUCCAAUUAGAGACAACAAGGACCAGCUGCCUCUAAUUGGAGAUCAUCCCAAACAAAACCCAACAUAGAAAUACAAAACUAGAACGUAACAACAUAGAAAAACUAAACUAGAAAACCCCCGUCACGCCCUGACCUACUCUACCAUAGAAAAUAACAUCUUUCUACAGUCAGGACGUGACAGUACCCCCCCCAAAGGUGCGGACUCCGAAUGCACCUAAACAAAACAACAACAACAACCCCCCCCCCCCUAAAAAAAGGGAGGGUAGGGUGGGUAACUACUGUCUAUGGCGGCUCUGGUACAGUACACAUAACCUUCUCAUCCCGCGGAUCCUCCAACAGAGGAGGCGGCUCCGGUUCUUAGAUUUACGUGUAUUUUGGGGUAUAUGUUGUGAAACUGUUAGAUAUUACUUGUUAGAUAUUACUGCACUGUCGGAGUUAGAAGCACAAGCAUUUCACUUCACUCACAAUAACAUCUGUAUGUGACCAAUAAAUUGGAUUUGAUAUUGGAAUCAUUUCACAGGUCAUUUCUAACUAUACUAGUAACUCACCCCAGGCGUACUCCUCUAACUACUAACUAUACUAGUAACUCACCCCAGGCGUACUCCUCUAACUACUAACUAUACGAGUAACUCACCCCAGGUGUACUCCUCUAACUACUAACUAUACUAGUAACUCACCCCAGGUGUACUCCUCUAACUACUAACUAUACUAGUAACUCACCCCAGGUGUACUCCUCUAUCUACUAACUAUACUAGUAACUCACCCCAGGUGUACUCCUCUAACUACUAACUAUACUAGUAACUCACCCCAGGUGUACUCCUCUAACUACUAACUAUACUAGUAACUCACCCCAGGUGUACUCCUC
rnacentral:lncRNA from 1 species